CAGAGAACUGCAGCUAAAAUCAGCCCUGUUUGUUAUUGGUCAGUGUGAUCACAUGGUUUGGUUAGAGGCUGAUAUCAGCUACUGUAUAUUGUUUGAGGAAUUCACUGAAGAGCAUGGCCAACUCAAUCCUUCGCAUCCACCUGUGUUGAGCCGCUGAGAAGCUUUGUUUUUUCACAGAUUGGGUCUGGCUCACAUUGUAAGAAAGCUGUAAGAUAAGGACAAACAAGUAAACAGCCUGAACUUUA